AUAGUGUGAAUGGAGAGCGGCUGUGAGAGUGAAUGUGAAGUGUUUGUGCGUGUUUGUGUCUUUUUAUGUUUCUGUUAAAAACCUACACAGUGAUCUUAUUUGAUCCGACCUGAGUUAGGCUCUGCUCCGGUCGGAGAUGAUAUGAAAAACGCUCUGCAGCCUCCAUGGCGGUGAGCAGUCGGCGAGGAACAACCCAGACAGGGCCUCCACGCUUCGUGCUGUGGUCAGAAGUGAUGAAUUGAUCAGAUAUACUAGUUCUGGUUGAACCUGAGCUUCGUUUCAGGCUUCACGGUGGACAAUGAGUACAGAGGCGAUUCUGAUCUAA